rnacentral:sRNA from 1 species
ACCAUUAGCCACGGACAAGAGUGUGUCCAUUUCAGCAAAAUUAAUAAGAGAUAGCAUUUUUCUUCCUUCUAAAUGGCCCUGUCAGUAAUUAACAUGGCUUCUCGUUAUUCAGCUUGAAAGGUUUUCCAGGCUCCCCAUGACCUUGCCUGGCUUUGUUAAACUGUGGCCUCCAGCCUGGGAGAGAGACCUAAAUACAGGGAAAGCACUCCUGACACCAGCUCCCCAGAUGCUUCAGAAAUCAGCCCAGGAAUAUUUAUUGAGUGCCUACUGUGUGGGGCUGCCUCAUUGAAACAGACAGUAGGUUCUGAUGGGAGGAACUUUAGAAGAGAAGAUAAAAAGAGGUUUGUUUAAAUGAGUCCUCAAGAUAACAGAGAGCUAUGGUGAUCAGAGGACAAGGGCCAUCCGUGGCUGUGGGGAGUGGGGCUGAGAGUGAGCCAAGGCAGACCCGAGGAAUUCUUACAGGAGGAAACUUUGGGGGAAGCACUCUUGCUGGUAUUCAGAGCACAAAGAAGAUGCAGACCCGCAGCUAAGUUCUCACUCCAAGAAAGGAAAACUGCCUGUUCAAGCUUUGAUGUCACACAGUUUCCUGCUGAGACCCCAGGAAGAUGGCAGAAGUAGGGUGCUUCUUGAACUGACUUCUCGUUUGCACUGGAGACUCAUUUACACUUCAUUGAUUCCAUGAAACUCUGGCUUCUGGGUCCUGAGUGGAAGAAAGAGUUUAGUGUUUAAAAUAUGGCUCCUGAAAAAGAGCGUGCCUCAAAAAACUCUCGUCUCUUCUGUGUCUUGCAUAAUUUACAUGAGGUUAGUUAACAUCAAAAAAUUAGUAAAUCUGAUAUCCAAUAAAGACACCUUUGGUUUACUUUCCUAUGAAAAUGUUCACUGCUCUUUCAACUGAAUUUUUUUAAAAUUUUAUUUUAUAUAUGAGUGUUCUAUCUGCAUGUACACCUUCAUGC